rnacentral:lncRNA from 1 species
GGUUAAUGUUAUUUCUGGGUAUUUCUGUGAUGGUGCUUCUGGAAGAGAGUGGAAUUUGAAUCAGGAAACACAGUAAAAAAGAUCACCGUCAUCAGUGUGGGUGGGCAUCAUCCAAUCUGUUGAGAACCCAAAUAGAACAAAAAGGUGGAGGAAGGGCUAAUUUGCAAUCCGCUUGAGGUGGGACACCUGUCUUCUCCUGCCCUCAGACAUCAGUGCUCCUGGUUGUUGGGCCUUUGGGGCUGGACUGGAACUACACCACUGGCUUUCCUGGGCCUCCAGCUUGUAGAUUGUAGAUCACGGGACUUUUCAGCCUCCAUAAUCACGCAAGAAUUUCUGACAUGACAUGGGAAAAGCUGAAGAAGUCAGUCUUUGGGGUGUGUUUUCAUCUAGGAGGUGGCUUGAGAUGGAUUCAUGGCAAAUCACAAUAAAUUAUUUAUCAGAUAAUAA